rnacentral:rRNA from 1 species
AUUGAACGCUGGCGGCAUGCCUUACACAUGCAAGUCGAACGGCAUCGCGGGAACGCUUGCUUUCCUGGCGGCGAGUGGCGAACGGGUGAGUAACACAUCGGAACGUACCGGCUAGUGGGGGAUAACCCGUCGAAAGACGGGCUAAUACCGCAUACGCUCUUCGGAGGAAAGCAGGGGACCUUUGGGCCUUGCGCUAGCCGAGCGGCCGAUGUCCGAUUAGCUAGUUGGUGGGGUAAAGGCCUACCAAGGCGACGAUCGGUAGCGGGUCUGAGAGGACGAUCCGCCACACUGGGACUGAGACACGGCCCAGACUCCUACGGGAGGCAGCAGUGGGGAAUCUUGGACAAUGGGGGCAACCCUGAUCCAGCAAUGCCGCGUGGGUGAAGAAGGCCUUCGGGUUGUAAAGCCCUUUCGGCAGGGAAGAAAUCGGCGGGGCGAAUAACCCUGCUGGAUGACGGUACCUGCAGAAGAAGCACCGGCUAACUACGUG